rnacentral:rRNA from 1 species
AGAAUCAACGCUGGCGGCGUGCCUAACACAUGCAAGUCGAACGAGAAAGUGGAGCAAUCCAUGAGUAAAGUGGCGCACGGGUGAGUAACACGUGACUAACCUACCCUUGAGUGGGGGAUAACCUAGAGAAAUCUGGGCUAAUACCGCAUAACACUUACGAGUCAAAGCAGCAAUGCGCUUGGAGAGGAGUUCGCGGCAGAUUAGUUAGUUGGCGGGGUAAUGGCCCACCAAGACGAUGAUCUGUA